GGGUGACGAGGUGGUGCAUGGUUGUCGUCAGCUCGUGUCGUGAGAUGUUGGGUUAAGUCCCGCAACGAGCGCAACCCUCGACCUUAGUUGCCAGCAUUCAGUUGGGCACUCUAAGGUGACUGCCGGCUAAAAGUCGGAGGAAGGUGGGGAUGACGUCAAAUCAUCAUGCCCCUUAUGACCUGGGCUACACACGUGCUACAAUGGGCGGUACAAAGGGUCGCGAACCCGCGAGGGGGAGCCAAUCCCAAAAAGCCGCUCUCAGUUCGGAUUGCAGGCUGCAACUCGCCUGCAUGAAGCCGGAAUCGCUAGUAAUCGCGGAUCAGCAUGCCGCGGUGAAUACGUUCCCGGGCCUU
rnacentral:rRNA from 1 species